UACGGAGGGUGCAAGCGUUAUCCGGAUUCACUGGGUUUAAAGGGUGCGUAGGUGGGUCUGUAAGUCAGUGGUGAAAUCUCCGAGCUUAACUCGGAACUGCCAUUGAUACUAUAGGUCUUGAAUUAUCUGGAGGUUAGCGGAAUAUGGUCAUGUAGCGGUGAGAUGCUUAGAUAUGACAUAGAACACCGAUUGCGAAGGCAGCUGGCUACAGGUAUAUUGACACUGAGGCACGAAAGCGUGGGGAUCAACAGG
rnacentral:rRNA from 1 species